rnacentral:pre_miRNA from 1 species
GAAGUACUCCCUCCGUUCGGAAUUACUUGUCGCAGAAAUGAAUGUAUCUAGACGUAUUUUAGUUCUAGAUACAUCCAUUUCCGAGACAAGUAAUUCCGAACGGAGGGAGUUGUUG